rnacentral:lncRNA from 1 species
ACUUUUAUAUAUAUAUAUAUAUAUAUAUAUAUAUAUAUAUAUAUAUAUAUAUAUCGUCGAUUCGAAAGUUCCAUCAGUGAAAACAACUUAUGAGUAUGAAGGGCUCUAUAGUCUUAUACCGUUUGGUUGGUUCGGGUAUAAGCAAGAACUAGCUUUUACAGAGAUAAGUACAAGUAUGAGGAUAAGCAAAAUAGCGUUUGGAUAAAAAUUAGGUUGUUUUCAGGGAUAAGAAAAAUAGCGCUUGGAUAGAUAAUAUGAAAUAAAAAAAAUAAUAAAUAGUUAUAUAUAAAAAAUAAAGAUAUUAGUGGAAAUAAUUAUACCAGCUUAUUGUAAAGAUCCAAGAACUAGUAUUUUAGAUAAGAAAUUUACGUUCGGAUAUAAAAGGGAGGGAUAAGGGG